UACGAAGGGGGGCUAGCGUUGCUCGGAAUCACUGGGCGUAAAGCGCACGUAGGCGGCUUUCUAAGUCAGGGGUGAAAUCCUGGAGCUCAACUCCAGAACUGCCUUUGAUACUGGAGAGCUUGAGUCCGGGAGAGGUGAGUGGAACUCCGAGUGUAGAGGUGAAAUUCGUAGAUAUUCGGAAGAACACCAGUGGCGAAGGCGGCUACCUGGACAGAAACUGACGCUGAGGCACGAAAGCUAGGGGAGCAAACCAG
rnacentral:rRNA from 1 species